rnacentral:rRNA from 1 species
AUUGAACGCUGGCGGCAGGCCUAACACAUGCAAGUCGAGCGGAUGAGUGGAGCUUGCUCCAUGAUUCAGCGGCGGACGGGUGAGUAAUGCCUAGGAAUCUGCCUGGUAGUGGGGGACAACGUUUCGAAAGGAACGCUAAUACCGCAUACGUCCUACGGGAGAAAGUGGGGGAUCUUCGGACCUCACGCUAUCAGAUGAGCCUAGGUCGGAUUAGCUAGUUGGUGAGGUAAAGGCUCACCAAGGCGACGAUCCGUAACUGGUCUGAGAGGAUGAUCAGUCACACUGGAACUGAGACACGGUCCAGACUCCUACGGGAGGCAGCAGUGGGGAAUAUUGGACAAUGGGCGAAAGCCUGAUCCAGCCAUGCCGCGUGUGUGAAGAAGGUCUUCGGAUUGUAAAGCACUUUAAGUUGGGAGGAAGGGCAGUAAGUUAAUACCUUGCUGUUUUGACGUACCAACAGAAUAAGC